GUAGGUGUCACUUCCGCUUCCUUUUUGACUUGUGUUAAUGUGUGCUAUCUUGUUCUCUCUGCUAACUUCAAUCGGUGCUCCAAUCUUCGACCAGGGCGGGGGCGUUUACAGGCGUGACAUCCAAGCACGUAAAAACACAAAGAGGAGAGAGUGCGCCAGAACCACACGAUCAUGAAAGUGACGACGUGUGACCCUUCCCUGUGGAGGUGUCACCUCCUUCUUCAAACACAUUUAGCAGGACAAGACUGUUUCAUAAAUCGACCGUCAGAAGUGGACAACCUGCUCGAGUUUCAGCGGCAGAUGAAUCGUUGGUGAAGAGGUCAACCUCCCAGCAGGAGGACCGGCCAGUGUGGGGCCAUUGUUCCAUCUCAGGGGGGUUAGUCCAAGACCACCAAGGUCGCGGGGGAAGCAGCCUAAGCAGAGAAGCCCAGACGUCACUCUCCCCAGCCACUUGGUGCAGCUCUACCCGGAGAUCCCCAGGCAUUCCCAGGCUAGCCGGGUCUUCCCCGUGGCCUCCUAUAGGUAGGACGUGCCCAUAACACUUCCCCAGGGAGGGAAAUAAAAGAAAGACGCCUAUCUGCCUAUCUGUUGAAGCAAGACCGUUUUUUUUCCCCCUACGACAUUUUAGCAAAAAAAAGUAAAAAAAAAAGAAAACAGAAGCAUUUUCUGCCAUUUCCAGUUUUAUGGAACUCCUGAUGAGGUUUUGGGACAUCUCCUACAACUACAGGACCAGUAUUGAGCUGUUGAAGCAAGACCGUUUAUUUUUUAUUUUUGGGUUAAGACCUUUUAGCGAAAAAAAGGUUUUGAAAAAUAUACAUUUUCUGCCAUUUUUGGGUUUUGUUGGGACUCCUGAUGAAGUCUUGAGACAUCUUCUACUACUACAGGACCAGUAUUGUGCUAUUGAAGCAAGACAUUUAUUUUUUAUUUUUGUGUAAGAUCUGUGGAUCCCUCAGGCGGUACUGCAUCAAAAAGCGACAACAGUGUGUAAAGGAUAUCACCACAUGGGCUCAGAAUAUUAAUAUGUAAUUCGUAUGUAUGUGGGCCCAUAUGGGCCCUUACAUAUUAGCGACAAUUUUUUUUCUUUUUCUAAAUAUGCAUUUUCUGCCAUAUUCGGGUUUUGUUGGGACUCCUGAUGAGGUUUUGAGACAUUUCCCUUGCAACUACAGGACCAGUAUUUAGCUGUUGAAACAAGACAGUUUUUUUUUAUUUUUGGGUAACGCCCCCCUUAACAAUAUUUUAGCGGAAAAAAGUUUUCAAAAAUAUACAUUUUCUGUCAUUUCCGGAUUUAUCGGGACUAAUGAUGUUUUAAGACGUCUCCUACAGUAUUGUGCUGUUGAAGCAAGACAGUUUUUGUUUAUUUUUGUGUUACGACAUUUUAGCAAACAAAAAAGUUUUCAAAAAAUACACAUUGCUGUCACUUACGGGUUUUGUUGGGAUUCCUGAUGAAGU